rnacentral:rRNA from 1 species
UACAGAGGGGGCGAGCGUUGUUCGGAAUUACUGGGCGUAAAGGGCGCGUAGGUGGCCUGUUAAGUCGAACGUGAAAUCCCCGGGCUCAACCCGGGAACUGCGUCCGAGACUGGUAGGCUCGAAUCCGGGAGAGGGAUGUGGAAUUCCAGGUGUAGCGGUGAAAUGCGUAGAUAUCUGGAGGAACACCGGUGGCGAAGGCGGCAUCCUGGACCGGUAUUGACGCUGAGGCGCGAAAGCCAGGGGAGCAAACGGG